GUGUCGGGUAGAUCUCGUUUACCAAACGACAUAGCGGAUGUGUCACAAAGGUUCCAGAUAAUGAAAACAGAUAAGAGCAAGGAUGGACUGCCAACUUCACAAACUUGCUUCUUCCAACUCAGAUUGCCUGAUUACUCAUCUGAAGUCAUUAUGGAAGAAAGAUUAAGGUAUGCGAUACACAACUGUAGAAGUAUUGAUGCAGACAAUUACAUGUUGGCUCGAAACGUUGAGAAUAACACACAAGGAAGCUUUGAGGAUGGCAUCAUAUGACUAGCAGGUGAGGGAGGGGGGAACUCGUCCCAGUUUCAACCCUUCCUUGAUGACACAUUGUGAUUUCACUGACUGGUAGUUCGGGGAAACAGAUAUUUUGGUAGCAAUGAACACUAACAGUUUCUUAGCCACCGAUAUUUGGUCAUUGAUAGAAUGCGAGUUUUAUAAAUAGAAUUAUCCAUUAUGCUUGAUGAAUUAAUAAGGUGUAUCUCUACUCUACUGGUAACGAGUAAACAUUAAUUUAGUUUUAAGCCAAUGAAAUUGUCGUGUUUCUCACAUAAGCAUGGUACUGGUAUUGUAUUAAAGUUAAUUUAAACUGUCUUAUCGAAUUAUUGAUUUUGAAAAUUGUCGUUUUAUGUAAACAGAUUAAUAUAAAUGUUUGUUAAUACUCAAUUAUUCAUAGUGAUUAACUCCGGAUUGUACAUACCUUUUUUUGCUGCGUACUGUCAUGUAUUUUAAACUAUAGAUAUUGUUAAUGAUUGUAUAUUUGCACUAUUACGAGGGUAUGAUAAAUAUUAUAUUUUAGUUUCUAAAUAUGUGUUUUCUGUUUCGUGAUCUAAGGUUUGGAUAUGAUUUUAUUAUUAAUGAACCGUGUAUUUACAGAAAGGUAUUCUCUUUAU